CGUCUCGCCCCGGCGCAGGCGCCGCCGUGGGCCCGCGGCGGAGGGCAGCUCGCCCCGGGACGGCGGCUCCAUGCGCUGCCAGGUCUCGGUGCUGUAUUUCGCCAGGAGCGCGGAGCUGGCGGGGCUGCGCUGCGAGACCCUCUCGGUGCCACGAGAGAUCACCUCUCUGCAGCUCUGGGAGGAGAUCGUCAAGGUCCACCCCAGGCUUGCUCUCAUCCGGGAUCAAGUGGUGUUUGCUGUUCGGCAGGAGUACGUGCUUCUUGGAGAUCAGCUCCUGGUCCUGCAGCCUGGAGACGAGGUUGCCAUCAUCCCACCAAUUAGUGGAGGCUGAACCUGCCCAGGUUCUGUUAGAGAGCUGGAUGGUGAACUUAUCAUUGCGUGACUUUACAAUGAAUGGAGAAGAGCUGCAAAAUAAAGAGGAAUUGCAUCAAAAUGCAAACUGAAAUUCUCUCACAUGCUCCUGCUGAGUUUUGAGUGCACCUGAACUGCUAACCAUGACAGCUGCUUGGUUCCACCAAGUGAGGUAAACUUGAAAUAUCAUCAGAGAAGAAAAAGUUCUGCCUUUUCCUCUACUUAAAAGAAAGAUAAGCAGCCCUUAAUAGUCAAGGACUAUUUUGCCACUAUAAGUGUCCAAGUAAGGGAACUAUAUUCUGCAUGUUGAUUCUUCCUUGAGAGCAACACAUGCUAACAAGCAGUGGAGGUAAGCUAUGAAAUCUGCUCUGGUACUGGUCCAGGAAGUGUUCACAGUUUGCUACCAGCCGAGUGUUGCAGCAAGCCUUCAACUGUGGGAAUGAAAUGGAGCCAUAGCAAGCCAUGGUUGCAUGAAUUUCAGGCAUCUGGACUAUUAAAUAAUACUGAACUUUUCAUACUCAGCAACUAAACCCCAGCAGUUGCUCUCAGGGACAUGAUGGCUUUCCUAAUUUUUGCAAUUUACAGCCAGUCGUAGAAAGGAGAAUGAUCUCAAGUACAAAGUGUUUGACAUACAAAUGAAGACUAUCAUGUUUCACAAGAUGUAGAUGCUUUGCUAAGUCUGAACAAGUCAUUUUUAGGCAAAAAACUCUUAAGCUGCACAUCUGCUGAUAAACAAUAUUUUCAUGCAGUAAAGGAUGCUCCUUAAUGAGCUGAGAAAGACAGGAUUCUCACAGCCUGAGGCAGAGGACAAAGCUGGUACUGUUGGAGUGUGCAGCUCAAAAUACUACUUAGAUAAUGGCCCUUAGCCUAACUUUCCAUUCAGUUUUAAACUGCCAAGCAUCUUACAAAGGAUAUUUUGUGAAAAAACAUUUGUGCCUGCCUACGGGUUGGAUAAAACAUAAAACUGCUGUUAAAAGCAAUGUCCAUGCCAUGAGACACAGAGGGAUAUGAAAAAGAUUAUGUGUAAAAACUCGCUGGCUGUCAAGCAGGGGUUUUUGUUGGAUUUCAUUUUUCAAAUCUCUCUCAAUUUUUCUUUGUAUUUAAAGAACCAAAAUGAAGUUAAGAAAUCCAAGAAAAAAAUAUCAAAUGUACUACUAUACUAGCAAGAAGCAAUUUAGAUUGAGAAUUUAAACAGAUUCAGAUAUCAAAUUUCAACAAACAAAGUUCUUGUGAUGCACAGAAGCUACUAUGUACAGAGCUGAUUAAUCUCCAAUUAUACACAUGCAAUAAACUGGCUUGUCAAAAGCUGCAGGGCACAGAAUUAACCUGCUUGCUUCCACCACCAGAAAAAAUGCAUGCAUGGACAUGGUUGUGAAUCCAGAAAACUGAAAGGUUUUGGGAUAGAACAGGAAACUAUGCCUCAAGAAUCAGCAUAAAUUGAUUUAGUCAGUAUUAUCUAAUUAGCAGUAUUAACUAACUGCUGGAGCAGCUUGACCUUGCUAUGCUUUGACAAAAAGCUAAAAUCCCAUUUUCAUUUGUAUUCUGGUUCUCUUGCAGACAGAUUGCAUGACUUCUGGGACUUAGGUUGAGGAGGAGACAUUUCAUGUCUUAUAUUGCAGGUGUCUUGUGUAGAAAUCUUAGCACAUCUCUGAGUUCCUAGAGAAAAUCUGCAAACCAAGAUGCCUUUAGGCAAUAAUGAAAUUAAUUAGAUUUUCAAAAACUCAGUCAUGCUAGGUCUUACAUCCUUCAUCUGUUGUAACAUUAUUUAACUUCUUAUUCUAUAUUCAUUAUAGCUAAUAGAUGCAAAUAACAUUUUAUUCUGACAAUGAAACACAAAUGUUUUUCUCACUUUUUUAAAAGUACAAAGGACAACUUGAAGACCAAGUUUUCAAUUCCUGUUUUAACAACUAUAUUCUCAUUUAAAGUGCAGAAUUCUUAGUACACAGUGAUUUACAAAAAGAGCACCCUAUUUAAUUAACUUUGAAGUACUCAUUGGCCCUAAGCAGGCUAAACUUUGAGCUUUAGCGAAUCAGAUUCUUCUCAAAUUAAUUUGUUGCAAAGCUGAGGAAACCAAAUUUUCCAGAAGGUAAAAAAGAAUGUAUAAACAAUAUUCUAAUAAACUUUUUAUUGCUGAAAACUUUAGUAAUAGCUGAAAUCAUUAACAUUUGACCCAACUAAAUAAUACACUAGAAGAAUAUAAAUAUGUCUGAGAACUACAACUCUAAUGUAAAAAAAAUUGAAAAUACUCUCUCAAUUUUGUACAUUCAAGUCAAUAUCUUCUUUUGUUCCAGCUAUAAACUACACUAUUCUAGCUACUUGGAAAGUUGAAGUGUUGAAAAAAAUAGUCCAAAUAGAUGGAUGUUUCCUUUGUACUACAUGAAUCCCUUCAGAGUUGGCCAGUAUAAUUUAUAACUAAUAAACUCUGUCUCCUGUUACCAGUAGUCCUUGAAACAAACAGUGGUUUGGGCACCGUUGUCUCAUUUGGAUGGAGAAUGUAAGCAGACAUUAUGAGAGAAUGA